UGCGACGGCACCAGAAUACACAUCAGCGUACCAACUCUGACUGCAGAGAUCCAGAAUCAGACAGCGGUGAAGAUCAUUGAGAGGAAUCAGACACAUUGGCAGAUUAUUAUCCUCAUAUCUGCUCUGUUGAACGCUGUUCUGAUCAUUGUGAUCAUAGGAUUCUUAAAGAUAUUUGUUCAUGCAAGAAACGGAGACGACGUGAAACAAUUUCACAGUACAGACCGACGAAAUCUUCAAGAUAUGG